GUAACAAGGUUUCCGUAGGUGAACCUGCGGAAGGAUCAUUACCUAGAGUUGUAGGCUUUGCCUGCUAUCUCUUACCCAUGUCUUUUAAGUACCUUCGUUUCCUCGGCGGGUUCGCCCGCCGAUUGGACAAUUUAAACCCUUUGCAGUUGCAAUCAGCGUCUGAAAAAACAUAAUAGUUACAACUUUCAACAACGGAUCUCUUGGUUCUGGCAUCGAUGAAGAACGCAGCGAAAUGCGAUAAGUAGUGUGAAUUGCAGAAUUCAGUGAAUCAUCGAAUCUUUGAACGCACAUUGCGCCCCUUGGUAUUCCAUGGGGCAUGCCUGUUCGAGCGUCAUUUGUACCUUCAAGCUCUGCUUGGUGUUGGGUGUUUGUCUCGCCUCUGCGUGUAGACUCGCCUCAAAACAAUUGGCAGCCGGCGUAUUGAUUUCGGAGCGCAGUACAUCUCGCGCUUUGCACUCAUAACGACGACGUCCAAAAGUACAUUUUUACACUCUUGACCUCGGAUCAGGUAGGGAUACCCGCUGAACUUAAGCAUAUCAAUAA
rnacentral:misc_RNA from 1 species